UAUCUUUCAUGUGGCUUAGUGGUUAGAGUGUGCGCCUCAGAUGCGGGAGGUCGUGGGCUCGAUCCCCGGUAGAGUUAU